rnacentral:tRNA from 1 species
AGUCUGUUAGCUCAGUUGGUUAGAGCGCCGUACUAACAAUGCGGAUGUCGAGGGUUCGAUCCCCUUACGGCCUA